rnacentral:lncRNA from 1 species
GGAUAUCGUUCUUAUCGGGGACAAAGUCUGGAAUGUGACAGUGACACCACAUUAUCAUAUUCCAACAAGUUAAAUCAUUCUUUGACUAUUCACAAUAUUUCAUCAUAUUUUUAAAAUUUUUUUUAUCAUAACUGCAAUACAGAAGACCACCUCCUCAUAGGCAAUAGCCGCAUAAUUAAAUCUAAACUCUUUUUUUUAAAAAAUAAAAUAGGGAAAAUAUAUAAUUGUUUUUUUUUUUUCUGAGAGAGAUAGGUAGCAUGCUACCCGCUUUAUUUCAUUUAGAAAUAAACUUAGUUGAAAAUGUGAAUCAAUUAGGAUUCGAAUUUGAAAUCUUGGGUACUAACCACCAAGUCCUUUGUUACUAGCUCUAGGGACGGUCGGUAAAUAUAUAACUGUUGCAAUUAGAAUCAGAUGG